rnacentral:tRNA from 1 species
GCCGAUGUGGUGGAAUCUGGUAGACACGCUGUCUUGAGGGGGCAGUAGCGAAAGCUGUGCCGGUUCGAGUCCGGCCAUCGGCACCA